rnacentral:lncRNA from 1 species
UCUUUUUAAUUCCACUAGUAGGCAGGUCCUAUGAACUUUGACUCAGGAAGUGGCGUAACUCGCGCUCGUCUCAUAUUUCAUCCAAUUUUAGGUUUUUUAUGUAAAGCAGCGAAAAUGUUUUCCUACUAAAUGUAUGGUAUCCUCUAUCUUUGGACCUAUCAUUCGAUCCGUUGAACCCAUAGCCUAUGACAGCUAUCAAGCUUGGAGUUGUCCCUAGAUACUCUAUAUUGGUUUUGGGGGAAAGAGUAUCAGAACUUUAAGCUGGAACGCUCUUAUCUGGAAAAAGUGUUCUACCCUAACCCUAAC